CACAAGUUUUCAAUUUGGUUUAUUUUCAAAAAAAUAAAAUUACAUUAUUUCUUUCUGUUUCGAAACAGUGUAAUUUGAAAAGUCCCCUGUUCUCUAAGGAAACAAACCUGCUGAGCAGUUAAACAGGCAACAGGUAGAAAAGGAGGAAACUAACCUGGUCAUUACAAUAUGAAACACAUAAAACGUAUCAAAGCGUACUUCAAGGCAGAAAAUAAAACUUAACCGGUAAAAACACAACUCAAAGUUCUACAAAACAAGCUUUCUGAUUAUUUUCUAUUUCGAAGAAGGAGCGAUCAACUCUGCACACAUUCCUUGUAGUGUUAGAGAAACAUGGGAGAAGUCUAUGACACGACAUCAAUAUCAAACCAAAAAAAGAGGACUGACUGUAGGUAGCUAACAGGUAAGGAUUGUGUCUGACUGUAGGUAGCUAACAGGUAAGGAUUGUGUCUGACUGUAGGUAGCUAACAGGUAAGGAUCGUGUCUGACUGUAGGUAGCUAACAGGUAAGGAUCGUGUCUGACUGUAGGUAGCUAACAGGUAAGGAUCAUGUCUGACUGUAGGCAGCUAACAGGUAAGGAUCAUGUCUGACUGUAGGCAGCUAACAGGUAAGGAUCAUGUCUGACUGUAGGCAGCUAACAGGUAAGGAUCAUGUCUGACUGUAGGCAGCUAACAGGUAAGGAUCAUGUCUGACUGUAGGCAGCUAACAGGUAAGGAUCAUGUCUGACUGUAGGCAGCUAACAGGUAAGGAUCAUGUCUGACUGUAGGCAGCUAACAGGUAAGGAUCAUGUCUGACUGUAGGCAGCUAACAGGUAAGGAUCAUGUCUGACUGUAGGCAGCUAACAGGUAAGGAUCAUGUCUGACUGUAGGCAGCUAACAGGUAAGGAUCAUGUCUGACUGUAGGCAGCUAACAGGUAAGGAUCAUGUCUGACUGUAGGCAGCUAACAGGUAAGGAUCAUGUCUGACUGUAGGCAGCUAACAGGUAAGGAUCAUGUCUGACUGUAGGCAGCUAACAGGUAAGGAUCAUGUCUGACUGUAGGCAGCUAACAGGUAAGGAUCAUGUCUGACUGUAGGCAGCUAACAUUCUAA